CUGGGCAGAGUCUGGGAGGAAAUGCAAAUGUUGGGCCACAGAAACCCAGUGACUGAGCCUCUGGUCCGCGUGGUUGCUGUGUCUUAGAGGCUGCACUCAGAGAUGACAGACGGAUUCUCGCAAUUUGGAAAUAAAAACUUGAGGGACGAGUUGAAAAGCCACAUCUCUGGUCCUUGUACACGUAUUCAGAGCAAUUUCAUCCAGAGACUACCCUUCCUGGGCAAACUGCCCUCAGGUGUUGUCCUCCACUGCAGAAAGCCCCUAGAAGUUCCUGCUCUACUCGGCGUUGACCAAGAAGCCAUGAAAUCCUUUUCUGGGGGAGACGUAGAAGAUUGCCUCCUAAAUAAGGUGGACUUGAGACGCCAGCAGGUUUCCCAGGCUGUGGAGGAGGUGCAGAGAGUCAUCCAUUGUCUGACCACAGAAAUCAGCCACCAAGACAUCCGAUUCCAAGCUGUGCCUUACUCUGACAUAUACAAUGGGAACAUUAAGGUUUUGGCCCCCAGCCAGUUCCUGGUCACAGUCCCAGUGAAAGGUCUGGCCGGGUACCGGGAGGCCAGGGAGCGGCGCUGGCGGUACUACACCCUUCAGGGAACCCGGAUCCCCUGUCCCCUGAGGGACCCGGAGGGCCUGCAGCAGUGGCUGGAGGUGGAACAGUUCAUGAAGAGCCUGUGGCAGUGGCAUGAGGCAGACGUGAACAUCGAGGGGGACAUUGUGCCCGCCAAGGUCCUCCUGGUGUUCCGGAAGCUAGUGGAAAACGCUAUUAGGACCUGUCACCUCUCAGGUAAGGUCAGCCUGCUGGCAAACUGCGAGGCCGUUUGGGUUGCCGUGGAAACAACUGCAUGUCAGGUGGAAAUAGAGCUGGUCCCCACUGUGGAGAUCCCCACCGCCUGGUCUGAGAAAGCACAGUGGCCUCGGUGUCUGAAGCGCUGGCCUUCCCCAGAGAAAGUGGAAUGCCUCAAGUCCUUUGGGUUCAACCUGCUGGCCCACGCCGGCUAUCACUGGCAGCUCAGCUUCUCCCAGGCCGAGCAGAUGCUCCUGGAGCAGCUGGACGAGGAUGGGGGCUGCCGCAGACAGUGCUUUCAGGUCUUGAGGCAGCUGAAGGAGGACGUCUGGUGUCCUGGGAAGAGGCCUGUCCUCACCUCCCACCAUCUGCAGACUGUGCUCUUCUGGACUUGUGAGAAGUAUCCCCACCUGAAGGACUGGCAGGUGUUCCACAAAGCCCUCCUGCGCCUGGUGAGGAAGCUGCACAAGUGUGUGAGCCAGCACUUCCUGAAGCACUACUUCGUCCCAAAGAGCAACCUCCUCCAAUAUGCUAACUCCAGCGAGCUGGACUCCGUAGCCCAAAAACUGGCCUUCUUCCUGAAGAACCCCCAGAUCGGCCUGCCCUGAAGGCUGGCCCUGCCUCGGAGACCCUCGCACACUCCAUUCUGGCUUGAGUUCCUUGUCCAGGUGGUUUCUCCCCCAGGUGCCAGGACCCUACCCAGGAGAGAGGCAGAGGAAACCACCUCGGGACUCCAGAGAGGGAAAACUGUGUCCUGAGAUGUCUGACCCAGGCCUCUCUGGAGCUAAGCAAGCAUUUCACCCCAGCUACCUCUCAUGGGGCGGCUCUCAUCAAGCUUCCCAAGCCACUGAUUCUGAACUGAUGACAGUUCUGGUUUAUUUUCUCUUACUCUGGCUCUGAUUGUCUGACUGGGAGAACCUCUGGAAGGCCAGACAGGAGCUUGCCGCCCACGAGUGCUCUCUAGCCCACUGAACAUGGGCCCAUUAUCUUUCCAUUUGUAAAAUGGAGAUGUUAAUAUGCCCUCUUUGGAGAGGGCUUCGAGCCUGUGGCAUUGCUGGGACCUUUUCAACAGAAGGACAUUGGAGCAAUACAAAGUGCUACUAGCUGGUUUAGGAGCCGGUGUUUGCCUCCUGGAUGGGUAUCCACACACUGAUGGAACGGUCACACCUAAGCAUUGCACACCUCUGAUGCCCUCAGCCCUCCUACACUGUGGUUGAGUGGCCUCUGCUCUACUGGUAUUCUCCUAAGAACAGCAGGAGUAGUCCUGGGGGCUAGUGGGAGUCCAGGAUCCACCCACUGCCAGCUACAGACCUCUUCUCCCCACGCCAGGAUGCAGGAAUGGAACUUCCUUCUACUUCUAGAAUGAGCUUCAUACCAUGAACUUGCUUGGAGUGACAUAUUCCUUUGCUCAAAUCACUCAUUCACUUAUUCAUUCCUUGGUAAAUAAAUGUUCACUGGACACUGGGAAAACCAGAGAGAGCAACAUGGACCCACUGAAUGGGGUGACACCUAGUGGUGAAGACAAGAAAUGAACAGAUAAAUAAAACAGUUACUACAGAUGAAGCAAGGGCUCUAAAGGAAAUAAACAGAAUGUUGAAACAGAAAGAUGCACAAAGGACGAAAAUGAAAACCAUGGAAGGACAGGCUUGAAGGGGCAAGGAUGAGUCCAAUCCUGUGACCCUGCAAAGCUGAUAAGGGAUCAGUAUUCUAUUCUAAGGUGUAACACUGACCUCUCCCAAAGCAAGUGGGGUAUCAGGAUCUGACUUGCCUUUUAAAUGAUUGCUCAGGUGACUGCAUCCAGAAGUCUGGGGCUCAAGAGACUCAGGGGCACUGACAGCUUUCAUACCUACCUAUUUUAAGGGGCAUUGAAGGCCACAAAGCAACACAUCCUGCACAGCACAGCUGACCAGGAAUUCUAGGAUUUCUUGGAAAAGUUCACACUCAACAAGGAACGACUAAGUUCCAACCACACUGCCAGGAGCUAGGGUUCCAUAACAGGCAGUGUUUGCAGAGAGCUUGCUCCAUGAAGAGAGACAGCGUGAAAUUCACAGUCAGGGUAUUGAAAGAGUCCAUCCGGUCUCAAGAUUGCUGUACAUCAGUGCUGCCACCCACUCACUCACCCGCUGUGUCAGAUCGAUGAGAGCCACUUGGAAUGAGAGUGUGUCUGAGGUCCCCAGGCUGCUCUGGAAGGAAGACGUGCUGCAUUGAUGUCAGCAAUUUUUUCAAAUUGGGCUGCAUUGGGGAAUUGUGUAAAAUGAAGGCGUUUAAAGAAAAACAGCCACUCACUAAUCCCACGGAUGAGGAGUUAACCUUAGGAUAUAAUCCAAACAGCAGAAAAUCAUUUACCUGUGAAGAUGCUUGGUGUUUCUUUAGGAUAACAAAGUACUGGGAGAUAUCUUAUUUUUGUGUCUUAGGUUAAAGGAGAAACACAUGAUUAUCUUGCUGGAUGCUAAAAUAGCAUUUAUUCAACUUCAGUAGCUGUUCCUAGUAAACGUUUUUAGAAAGCCAGGAAUAAAAGGAUAGCCCUUAAUUUAUGAAGAAUAUAGGAACACACACACACGCACGCACAUACACAUACAUACACACACACACACACACACACACACACCAUUAAGCACAAAAGGCAACAGAGGAAACCUUGUCAUCCAGUUUGGUAAAACACUGAAUAGACCCUGAGAUUUGAGACAAGUUAUGUGAGUGAGGAACUUUCCUGGGGUGAGUAGUUGGAAGAAUGAGUCAGCAAAUGUAAGAACCAUCACAGGCAUAAUGAUUAACUGUCCAUUAAAAAUUAAAAACCCUUCUAUCAAGUAAGAUAAUUAAUACUUAGUAAAUCAAAAUCAGUUCAAAAAAAAAUCCCUGGAGAACAAAAUCUGCAAAUUUCAAAUAAAGAUGGACUUGACUGUU